ensembl:antisense 4930518J20Rik RIKEN cDNA 4930518J20 gene
GACGGUUAGCGGAGACCUAGCGUGUGGGUGCGGGUGAGGCCGAGGACCGGCUCCCCCUCUGGGACGGCGCUACAACCCGCCGCAUCUACCUCCUCCCGAAGCCGCGGGAAGACGCAGGUGCCGCUGGACCACCCUCCACCUGAGCCCUGCGGCGCCGCCCGGCCCCGCCCCGCCCCGCCCCCAGGCACCUGCGGGGGGCGGGGACCGCGGCGGAGGCACAUGCGGAUCCUGCGGAUCCAGGACUAGUGCCCCCCACCCCGCCCCGCCCCGCCCCGCCGGAAGCUCGCCUCGCCCUCGUAGGUCUGCGCUUAUUUGGGGGAAAAAAUUAAGAGCGAGUCUGAUUCUUGAGAAUUACUGCUGACCUUAAAGCGACUUUGACUCCUAGAAGAGAGGAAUGGAUGGAUGGACGGACUUUUGGAAUGAAGAACAUCCCAGGAGCAAUGGAAAGAAGAGAAGUGGGAGACUAUGGAGGAUAAUUUCAUUUGGAUAUGUUUGCUGGAUUUGUAGAGUAAACUAGAUUGACAGGAGUCCUCAAAAACUAGCAAGUAGAAAUGCAGGAUAUGAAUACCUUUCCCUUAACUGUAUGCACUCUUAAAUGGACAACCUAAAAGAUACUCAAAGGAUUCAACUUAAGAGGCCGGAAACUAGGUGGGGUGAUGCACACCUGUUGAGCCUAGCUCUCUGGAGGUGGAGAGAGGAAAGCCCCAGCUGGAGACUGGCCGGUUGCAUAAAGGGGGCGGGAUCCCUAAGCCAUUCUUGCCUAAAACCCGUAAGUGAAUAUUCCAAGAGAACAAAAUGUACCAUCAAUGAAUGAGGACUAUUAAAGAAUCCCUAAAAAACUAAAACUAGAAAGGAUUUAUAUCUUCGGUUUAUAGUAGAGCAGUUGUAGCUGAUAAGUAGAUUAACAGAACAUCCUAAAAUGAAAAAUGGACCCAAAUACUGCAGCAUUUCAAUGACAAGUUUUAGAAGGAACACGUCUUCAUAUUUUUAAGGGCCCAUUGAGUCCUCGGAACUAACUAAAACAAAAAUCCCUUCUUACACAAAGCCUAGGAGAAAAGGAAUGGAGAUUUUAGGUAUGAACAGCUAUCUCUAAAACAGUGUUAAUUAGAUUGCCAUUGGAGUAAAACCUACCCAGAUGAAUCUUUUUCCAUUGGCAAGCCAACAUUAAGAGAGUGGAGUUAAAAUGUUUUCAGGAAAUAGCACACUGGAUGACUCCCUUAAAAAGGAUAUCACCUCAGAUUCUCAUACCAAUGAUCUGCGGUAACAAAUAUAACACACCUAGCACCAAGAAGUCUGUAUAGGUUAACUAUAUUUUAUUCCUACUGAGAAAGUUAACUUUUUCCUUUUUUGGAGCAAGUCUUAUUACGUUGCUCAGGCUGUCGUCAAACUUGGAAUUCUCCUGCCUCUCCUGUCCUGUCUGCAUGGACAGAUUACGGUGUGGGUCAAAAUGCCUGGCUUUGAUGCAGGCUGUAAUAGAACAAUCGAUGAAUAAUA